AGCAAAUUUCCGCGUAGUGGCCUCGCUAGUUCAGUUCACUGGAUUUACAUGAACUCCAGUUACACAUUGAGCGCACCGAACCGCCCUUAAUAUAACAGAGGUCCACCCCCCAUCGAAGUGUGAUGUUUUGUAUUUGAAUUUUUGGCGGUGGGACACAAGUCUUUGCCGAUUUUUUGUAUCAUUUUAUGUAUAUAUCAAGUCUCGUUUAUUCGCUGAACUAAAUGGAUCGUAUUCUCGUAAUAAAGCGCAAUAUUCGGUGAGUAUUUUUAUAUUUUGUAGCGACUUAUUUACACUUCAAUUGAUUGUGAUUUGUGAUAGAUUUGAUCGCAUAUAUAAACAUCAUAGACACAUAUAAAAAUCUAUUUACUGUCGUUCCAAUUGAAGUGUUGCUCAAAUAUUGAUUCAAUACAUUACCUCGUGCUGACCAAUUCAUUUCAUCAAGUUCCUCGAGAUAUUCAUACACUUCCUAGUAUAAUUGUAAACUUCCUGUUGAAUAGUUUGAAUGCACCAAUCACCUUUGUUGUUUGUGCAACUAACCAAUCAUAAAUAGAAAGGAAGUGACCAGAAAUGAUCAAAUACUUGGAAUUAGAUCUUUCACAGGAAGUGUAUGAAUAUCUCUAGGAACUUGAUCAAAUGAAUUGGUCAGCCAGAGGUAAUGUAUUGAAUCAAUAUUUGAGCAACACUUCAAUUGGAACGACAGUAAAUAUCGACCUAAUCCGUAUUACAGAUGAUAUUUCUUAUAAUAGUUUUCUAAAUGACAGUCUAUUUGUUAUUAUAUUUUAGAGUGAAGAAUUUUGCUUAUUUUAAGUAUGGUAUUCGGACUACUUUCCUAUGACGAACUCCAGGCAAGGUAUGCAUCUUUUAUCUUUAUACAGU